GCAGGUGUAGCUCAAACUGGUGGAGCAUCAGAUUUUUAUACUUACACGCACAUACGGUGUGAGUGGUCUGAAGGCCGGAGGUUCGAAUCCUCUCACCUGCU
rnacentral:tRNA from 1 species